UGAGGAAUAUUGGACAAUGGGCGAAAGCCUGAUCCAGCCAUGCCGCGUGUGUGAAGAAGGUCUUCGGAUUGUAAAGCACUUUAAGUUGGGAGGAAAGGCAUUAACCUAAUACGUUAGUGUUUUGACGUUACCGACAGAAUAAGCACCGGCUAACUCUGUGCCAGCAGCCGCGGUAAUACAGAGGGUGCAAGCGUUAAUCGGAAUUACUGGGCGUAAAGCGCGCGUAGGUGGUUUGUUAAGUUGGAUGUGAAAGCCCCGGGCUCAACCUGGGAACUGCAUCCAAAACUGGCAAGCUAGAGUACGGUAGAGGGUGGUGGAAUUUCCUGUGUAGCGGUGAAAUGCGUAGAUAUAGGAAGGAACACCAGUGGCGAAGGCGACCACCUGGACUGAUACUGACACUGAGGUGCGAAAGCGUGGGGAGCAAACA
rnacentral:rRNA from 1 species